GGGCCUCAAAGAACCUGGUUCAUAAUUCCAGUCUGGGGCCUGGUGCCUCCUGCAGCAGUGGGUGGUGGUUUGUUUGCCUGUAUUGGCCUUGUGCUGAGGAACGGGACCUGGGCUGAGACCUACCUCCUUCACAUUUGAUGGGAUUUACCUGUGUUUUCUUUGAAAGUAAGUACGAGAGCUUAGAAUGAAUAGUGGUGAAAAUGACAACUUUAAAGUUAUGUGAAAUGAAGAUGUAGAAUGGCUCACUUAGAAUAUAGUAUAAGAAUAAGGCAGUUUUGGAUGCUGAGUAUGCUUGUUUGAUUUAAACCCAUUGCAUAUACAAACAGAACCAUGCCACUCUGCCUCAUAAAUAUAAGAAUUAUAUCAAUAAAAGUAAAAAUGUAAUUUCCUGUAAAAGGAAGUAAUUUUAAUUUGACUUAUUUAGUUCUUUGUCUCCAAAAUGUUGCUUAAACUCUGCCAACAUUGGAAACAAAAACUAAGUAUGUGUAAGUGAGUGGCCUUCAAGAUACACUGAAAGACCUGAGUGCGCUGCAAGGGCCAGCACCAGCCACACUUAAGGAGCCACAAGUCUUCAUAAGGUCCAAGAAAAUGGAAGGGAUCCCAGUUCAAGCUGGAGGUGUCAUCUGGUUCUAGCCAGCUGGGUGACAACCAGGGUGACAGUGUUGAGGUGCUAGUUAAAAGGAAUAGACAUUCUCACUGAAGCAGUGGUCAUGGACCUUUGCAGAAGUAGCUACAACCCUGUGCACACAGCCCAGCCUGCCCAGAACUGGGGUCUUUUAUCUCUGUCUCACCUCUAGCUUUCUCCGACUACAGGCUUUGUUCAUGAUGGUGCCUCCUCUGGCCUCUUGUGCUUAUUUAGUUCUGCUGAGCAGUAAUUGUUAUAUGAUGUAUGAAGUGGGGAACACAGGCCCCUGGUGAAAGUCUGGGGGUCUAUUUUGAUUUUUUUGAAGUUGCUGUUAAAAUAAAUAAGUAAACAAUACAAAAGAAAAAUCUUCUAACAUACAGGUGACAUUCUCUGGUUCUGGAUACAAUGUGAGGUUGUUCCGUUCAUGUCUCCCAUGUUUAAGGAGACUCAGUCUUCUUUACGGGCGAGCUUCCUAAUAGGUUAGCCAAUCCCAAGUGGUCA
rnacentral:lncRNA from 1 species